AACGAACGCUGGCGGCAGGCCUAACACAUGCAAGUCGAGCGAGGACUUCGGUCCUAGCGGCAGACGGGUGAGUAACGCGUGGGAAUCUACCCAGUUCUACGGAACAACUGAGGGAAACUUCAGCUAAUACCGUAUACGCCCUACGGGGGAAAGAUUUAUCGGAAUUGGAUGAGCCCUCGCUAGAUUAGCUAGUUGGUGGGGUAAUGGCCUACCAAGGCGACGAUCUAUAGCUGGUCUGUGAGGAUGAUCAGCCACACUGGGACUGAGACACGGCCCAGACUCCUACGGGAGGCAGCAGUGGGGAAUAUUGGACAAUGGGCGCAAGCCUGAUCCAGCCAUGCCGCGUGAGUGAUGAAGGCCUUAGGGUUGUAAAGCUCUUUCAGUGGGGACGAUAAUGACGGUACCCACAGAAGAAGCCCCGGCUAACUUCGUGCCAGCCGCCGCUGUAAAAC
rnacentral:rRNA from 1 species